rnacentral:rRNA from 1 species
GUUAGGAAUAUUGGGCAAUGGAGGAAACCCUGACCCAGCGACGCCGCGUGAGGGAAGACGGCCUUCGGGUUGUAAACCUCUUUUGUACGGGAAGAAGGAAGUGACGGUACUGUACGAAUAAGUCCCGGCUAACUACGUGCCAGCAGCCGCGGUAAUACGUAGGGGACGAGCGUUGUCCGGAAUUACUGGGCGUAAAGGGCGCGCAGGCUGUGCUGCAAGUCAGCUGUGAAAUGUCUGGGCUUAACCCGGGCAUGCGGUUGAGACUGCAGUGCUGGAGUGCUGUAGAGGCAAGUGGAAUUCCCAGUGUAGCGGUGAAAUGCGUAGAUAUUGGGAAGAACACCGGUGGCGAAGGCGACUUGCUGGGCAGCAACUGACGCUGAGGCGCGAAAGCCAGGGGAGCAAACGGGAUUAGAAACCCUAGUAGUCC